rnacentral:misc_RNA from 1 species
GUUGGUGAACCAGCGGAGGGAUCAUUAUAGAGUCUAAAAACUCCCAACCCAUGUGGAUAUACCUAUUGUUGCCUCGGCAGGUUCCGUCCCGCGCGGCUCGUCCCGCGGAGCGGUAUAAGCCUGCCAGUAGGCCCCAAAACUCUGUUUUAUUUUUGAAACUCUGAAUCUAUAACUAAAUAAGUUAAAACUUUCAACAACGGAUCUCUUGGUUCUGGCAUCGAUGAAGAACGCAGCAUCUGACUGACUCGAC